rnacentral:rRNA from 1 species
AUGGCUAUAUCAUGUUGAAACACCGGUUCUUAUACGAUCACCAAAGUUAAGCAAUGCGAAUCUGGUCAAUACCUAGAUGGGUGACUGAUUGGGAAUACCAGGUGCUGUAAG